rnacentral:rRNA from 1 species
AGCGUACACGGUGGAUGCCCUGGCAGUCAGAGGCGAUGAAGGACGUGCUAAUCUGCGAAAAGCGUCGGUAAGGUGAUAUGAACCGUUAUAACCGGCGAUGUCCGAAUGGGGAAACCCAGUGUGAUUCGUCACACUAUCGUUAACUGAAUACAUAGGUUAACGAGGCGAACCGGGGGAACUGAAACAUCUAAGUACCCCGAGGAAAAGAAAUCAACCGAGAUUCCCCCAGUAGCGGCGAGCGAACGGGGAGCAGCCCAGAGUCUGAAUCAGCUUGUGUGUUAGUGGAACGGUCUGGAAAGUCCGACGGUACAGGGUGAUAGUCCCGUACACCAAAAUGCACAGGUUGUGAACUCGAAGAGUAGGGCGGGACACGUGGUAUCCUGUCUGAAUAUGGGGGGACCAUCCUCCAAGGCUAAAUACUCCUGACUGACCGAUAGUGAACCAGUACCGUGAGGGAAAGGCGAAAAGAACCCCGGCGAGGGGAGUGAAAAAGAACCUGAAACCGUGUACGUACAAGCAGUGGGAGCACCUUCGGGUGUGACUGCGUACCUUUUGUAUAAUGGGUCAGCGACUUAUAUUCUGUAGCAAGGUUAACCGUAUAGGGGAGCCGCAGGGAAACCGAGUCUUAACUGGGCGUUAAGUUGCAGGGUAUAGACCCGAAACCCGGUGAUCUAGCCAUGGGCAGGUUGAAGGUUGGGUAACACUAACUGGAGGACCGAACCGACUAAUGUUGAAAAAUUAGCGGAUGACUUGUGGCUGGGGGUGAAAGGCCAAUCAAACCGGGAGAUAGCUGGUUCUCCCCGAAAGCUAUUUAGGUAGCGCCUCGUGAACUCAUCUUCGGGGGUAGAGCACUGUUUCGGCUAGGGGGUCAUCCCGACUUACCAACCCGAUGCAAACUACGAAUACCGAAGAAUGUUAUCACGGGAGACACACGGCGGGUGCUAACGUCCGUCGUGAAGAGGGAAACAACCCAGACCGCCAGCUAAGGUCCCAAAGUCAUGGUUAAGUGGGAAACGAUGUGGGAAGGCACAGACAGCCAGGAUGUUGGCUUAGAAGCAGCCAUCAUUUAAAGAAAGCGUAAUAGCUCACUGGUCGAGUCGGCCUGCGCGGAAGAUGUAACGGGGCUAAACCAUGCACCGAAGCUGCGGCAGCGACACUAUGUGUUGUUGGGUAGGGGAGCGUUCUGUAAGCCUGCGAAGGUGGCCUGUGAGGGUUGCUGGAGGUAUCAGAAGUGCGAAUGCUGACAUAAGUAACGAUAAAGCGGGUGAAAAGCCCGCUCGCCGGAAGACCAAGGGUUCCUGUCCAACGUUAAUCGGGGCAGGGUGAGUCGACCCCUAAGGCGAGGCCGAAAGGCGUAGUCGAUGGGAAACAGGUUAAUAUUCCUGUACUUGGUGUUACUGCGAAGGGGGGACGGAGAAGGCUAUGUUAGCCGGGCGACGGUUGUCCCGGUUUAAGCAUGUAGGCUGGUUAUCCAGGCAAAUCCGGAUAAUCAAGGCUGAGGUGUGAUGACGAGGCACUACGGUGCUGAAGUAACAAAUGCCCUGCUUCCAGGAAAAGCCUCUAAGCAUCAGGUAACAUCAAAUCGUACCCCAAACCGACACAGGUGGUCAGGUAGAGAAUACCAAGGCGCUUGAGAGAACUCGGGUGAAGGAACUAGGCAAAAUGGUGCCGUAACUUCGGGAGAAGGCACGCUGGUGUGUAGGUGAAGUCCCUGCGGAUGGAGCUGAGACCAGUCGAAGAUACCAGCUGGCUGCAACUGUUUAUUAAAAACACAGCACUGUGCAAACACGAAAGUGGACGUAUACGGUGUGACGCCUGCCCGGUGCCGGAAGGUUAAUUGAUGGGGUUAUCCGUAAGGAGAAGCUCUUGAUCGAAGCCCCGGUAAACGGCGGCCGUAACUAUAACGGUCCUAAGGUAGCGAAAUUCCUUGUCGGGUAAGUUCCGACCUGCACGAAUGGCGUAAUGAUGGCCAGGCUGUCUCCACCCGAGACUCAGUGAAAUUGAACUCGCUGUGAAGAUGCAGUGUACCCGCGGCAAGACGGAAAGACCCCGUGAACCUUUACUAUAGCUUGACACUGAACAUUGAGCCUUGAUGUGUAGGAUAGGUGGGAGGCUUUGAAGCGUGGACGCCAGUCUGCGUGGAGCCAACCUUGAAAUACCACCCUUUAAUGUUUGAUGUUCUAACGUUGGCCCCUUACCGGGGUUGCGGACAGUGUCUGGUGGGUAGUUUGACUGGGGCGGUCUCCUCCCAAAGCGUAACGGAGGAGCACGAAGGUUAGCUAAUCCUGGUCGGACAUCAGGAGGUUAGUGCAAUGGCAUAAGCUAGCUUGACUGCGAGCGUGACGGCGCGAGCAGGUGCGAAAGCAGGUCAUAGUGAUCCGGUGGUUCUGAAUGGAAGGGCCAUCGCUCAACGGAUAAAAGGUACUCCGGGGAUAACAGGCUGAUACCGCCCAAGAGUUCAUAUCGACGGCGGUGUUUGGCACCUCGAUGUCGGCUCAUCACAUCCUGGGGCUGAAGUAGGUCCCAAGGGUAUGGCUGUUCGCCAUUUAAAGUGGUACGCGAGCUGGGUUUAGAACGUCGUGAGACAGUUCGGUCCCUAUCUGCCGUGGGCGCUGGAGAAUUGAGGGGGGCUGCUCCUAGUACGAGAGGACCGGAGUGGACGCAUCACUGGUGUUCGGGUUGUCAUGCCAAUGGCACUGCCCGGUAGCUAAAUGCGGAAGAGAUAAGUGCUGAAAGCAUCUAAGCACGAAACUUGCCCCGAGAUGAGUUCU